GCAUUAGACUCUCCAUGGGCUCCAUAGACUCUCCUGUACCUUACGACUAGGCACAGGAGCGUUUCCCCGGUGAAAUGGAGAAGAGGACACUUGGUCUUUUCAACUUUACUAGGAGGGCUCCUUUCUUCCCAGUCCAAACAUAUGAAGCUCAUUUCUGCCACCCUUCCUAGAAAACUGGUUCCUGACAGAGACAUGUGGAAAGGUAAGUAAACCUGGGCCCAAGAUCACAGAGCACACAGCUGGAAUUCACAGCAAGACCUGAUUGACUUCGAAGUCAGUGGUCUUUCCCCUGCUUCCCACGAGACAGGUAAUCCCUCAGCUUACUCUUGAAGAGGCAAUGUGGGCUACUGCAUUUGAAUGUCUGAAUUCAAGCCUUGUAGAAACAACUAGCAGUAACCAAACACCAUUAUUUUUGUUUGUUCAUUUGUUUCCAAAUGACUUGUGACUUUUCUAAUGGAGAAAACACUCAACCCAAAUCUUAAUUCCACCAACAAUGAGUGUGUGCCUUGGACAAUUCACAGCCUGUCUGAGCUAGUUUAUUUUAGAGUAAGCAAGUUGGAGUAGGUGACCUCUGUGUUCUUUGUAAUUUGAGACGUUUUGGUGUUCACACAGGUUACUACAUGAAGAGCUGGGACUGGAAUACAGGUUUUCUAUGUUCACCUGGGGAUAGCUUUUCCAUCAUCCCUCCUGAGUCUGUGAGGUAUCCCAGUUUUUAAGCCAGAACUUUGAAACCAGAAGUAAAUGGUUAAGUUUAUCUGUCUAUGCCUAUGUGUAUUCUAGCCAAAUAAACCAUGACACUUAAAACAAUUUCAAUAUUUCAAAGAUGUAGUAAAUUUCCUUGAACCUUUUUUAUUGUUUUUUAUAAAUUAAAAAUUAUGAAAUAAUUCAAACAUUUUUAAAAUAGGAAAUAACGUGAUAUGCAUGUACCCCAUACCCAGAUUUAAUAGAUGUUUACAUUAUGCAGUAUCUGUUUCUUUUUUUUUUUUUUUUCUUGAGACAGAGUCUUGCUCUGUCACCCAGGCUGGAGUGCAGUGGCAUAAUCUCGGCUCACUGCAACCUCCGCCUCCCGGGUUCAAGCGAUUCUCCUGCCUCAGCCUCCUGAGUAGGUGAGAUUACAGGCGCGCACCACCAAGUCCAGCUAUUUUUUGUGUUUUUAGUAGAGACAGGGUUUCACCAUGUUGGUCAGGCUGGUCUCGAACUCCUGACCUCGUGAUCCACCUACCUUGGCCUCCCAAAGUGCUGGGAUUGCAGGCAUGAGCCACCGCACCUGGCCUUCAAUUUUUUGAUAGAAGUAAGACAUCACAGGUACAAUCAAAGUUUCCUAAUCUUAUAUUUCUUCUCACACUUCCCAGAGGAAAAUGACUAUUCUAAAGUUAGUUACUUCUAUUUCUUAAUUGUAAUACAUUUAUUCAUAUUCUUAAGACAUUUAUGUAAUAUUGUGUUAAGUAUUUUUGAAAUGUAUAUAAAUGGAAUCAUACAAUAAAGACCCUCAGCAGUUUUUUUUCACUGAAUGUUCUGGUUUCAAGAUUUAUCCAUGUGAAUAUGUGUAGGUCUAGUUUAUUCAUUUUAAUUAUUGUGUUAUAUUUUAUUGUAUGACCAUAACAUUUAUUUUUUCUUUUGAUUGUGAAUUUAAUUUUUUUAAUAUUUAAACAGUGCUGCAAUGAACAUUUUUCCUUAUAUCUAUCUGCUUGUUCCUGUGAGCUUCUCAAACCAUGACCUGAAGAUCGCUACCAGUUCAUAACUAAUUAAGUACAGAAAUUGACAAUAUUAAUUUAGAAACUUUAAUAGCAAUCCAACUGAGUACUUUUAUGUCUAUUGAAUCCAAUAAUACAGAAUAUUGAGUUCUGUAUUUUGUAUGUCUGUUUUAAAAUUUUAUUUUUUUGAGAUAGGGUCUCACUCUGUCUCCUAGGCCAGAGUGCAGUGGCGCAAUCACAGCUCACUGUAGCCUCAAAACUCCCAGGCUCAGGUGAUCGAUCCUCUCACCUCAGCUCCUGAGGAGCUAGGACUACAGGCGCACACCACCAUACCUGGCUAAUUUUUUCACUUGUUAUAGAGAUGGGGCUUUGCCAUCUUGCCCAGACUGGUCUCGAACUCCUGGGCUCAAGUGAUCCAUCCACCUCAGCCUUCCAACAUGCUGGGACUACAGGCAUGAGCCACUGUCCCCAGCCAAAAUUUUAUUUAUUCAUUUUCAUUGUAUUUUACAAACAUAUUGAUCCUCAGCAGCAUGGAAAUAUUUUUAGAAAACUUGCCUUUUUAUUACAGAUAGUUUGAGACUUUCUGCAUGGUUUCUACUUGCAAGUUGAAUUUCUGGCUUGAUGAAUAAGUGCAUCUUUAGCUCUAAAACAUAUAAACAAAUUCCACUCCAGAAUGGUCAAACCAAUUUUCAAUCUCUUCUGCAGUGUAUAAGUUUCCUUUUCCAACAGUUGCAUUAUCAGACCUUUAAAUCUUUUCUCAAUAUGAUAGCUAUGAAAUAUUUUAUUUAACUAGCAAUUAUCUGAUAAAUAGUGACGUUGAACAUCUAUUUAUAUGCUAAUUACAUUCCCAGUUACCUGACUUUAACAAGGCAGGUUUUCCAGUUUGCAAGUAUGGGGAAAAUAUGUCUUUAAAAAUCUAGCUAUAGCAGGCAAAGUAUCAUAACAGGUAAAACUGGUUUUUAAGAAGAAAAGCCUAGGAACAGCUAGCUUUGACUUGAUGAAGGACAGGAAAAACCAGUUGUAGCAAUUGAGUACAUGGACAGAUACUUUAGAGUACAUGUCUUUUCCGGUAUUUUGGUUUUGGGACAAUCCCUCCAUCACCAUUAUGACGUUUCAGUGGAGCAAUUUUCACUAAGAAUUUUGUACCUGUUUUCCAGUUUUGAUCAUCGAUGAUUUUCUGGUUCUAAUGAGAUCAAGGACAUGAAGAGGCUGAGUGCCUCCAUGAGCUUCAUUAUUUUCCAUGAUCUGACCUCUCAUUCUCUUAAGCUUUGGAGUUGGAUGAAGGAAGAACUCUGAAAAAAAGUAUCUGCACCCAAGGACCCACACCCAAGGAGCAGUACCAGAGGGAACACAUCUGAAGAGCCCUAUCUGGAUUUGCCAACAUGAUUUAGAUGAUAAGAUACUGGACUUUGAGCUGGUGCCAUAAUGGGAUGAGGCUUUGGGAGUCCAAAGGGAGAUAAGUGUAAGUGUAUUUCACCGGUGAAGAAUGUAAAACAUAAAAGGCCAGAACAUGAACUCUGCAGCUAAUCUCCAAAGAUGGCUCUCAGUGAACCACACCUCAUGGAAUUCAUGUCCUUGCAUAGUCCCCUCCCGCACUGAAUCUGGGUUAACUUUGUGACUUUCUCUAACUAUCAGAAUGUGACAGAAGUAACAAUAUGAUACAUCCCUCCAUUUAGUGAGAUCAUCUUUAAUUUCUCCCAAUAAUGUUUUGUAGUUUUCUGUGUAGAGGUCUUACAAAUUUUUUAGAUUGAUUCUUUGACAUGUGACUUUUCUAUGCUGUUGAUAAAUGAUAUUUUGUUAAAAUUUUUAUUUUCUAAUUGCUUGUUACUAGCAUAUAGAAACUUAAUUACAUAUAGAAACUAAGUACAGGACUUUGUUUAUUGACUAUGUAUUCAGUGGCCUUGGUUAAUUCCUCUUUUAAUUGUAAUAGUUUUUCUGUAGUUCUUUUGGAUUUUUCUAUGUGUAUAAUUAUAUAUGAAUAAUGACAGAUUCAUUUCUUAAUUUCCAGUCCUCUAAUAGGGUUUCUUUAUUUCUUUUUCUAACUUUGAUGCACUAGCUAGAACCUACAAAAUAAUGUGGAAAAAAAGCAACCAUCCUUGCCUCAUUCCUGAUUUUAGAGGAAAAGCUCUUAAUAUUAACUAUGAUGUUUUUAAUGGGGUUUAUUUAGAGAUCUUUGUGAAGGCAAGAGUUUUUUUAAUAAAUGAAUCUUGAGUUUUAUAAAAAAUUUUUACUGCAUCUAUCAAGAUGGUCAUAUGAUUUUUAAAUUCUGUUACUGCAGUAAAUUAUAUUGAUUUUUUAAUCUAAAAACAAUCUUACAUAUCUGAAAUAAACCCACUUUGGUCAUGAUGCAUUAUUCUUUUUGUGUAACACUGGAUUUGAUUCUUUUAUUUAUUUAUUUUAGAGUUUUUGCUUAUAUGUUCACAAGAGACAGUGACUUGUUAUUUUUUUCUUGUAUGUUCUUGUCAGGUUUGAGAAUCAAGGAUAUGUUGGUCUUACAAAAUUAUUUGGGAAGUACUUGUUCUUUUUUAACUUUCUGGAAAAGUUUUUAUAAAUUUGAUAUGAUUACUUCUUUAAAUAUUUGGUAAACUUCACUAGGGAAGCAUCUAGGAUGGGAAAAUUUUUAGUUAUGGACUCAAUUUCUUUAAUAGAUAUAAAACUAUUCAAAUCCUUCUAUUUCCAACACUCUGAUUUUGGCACAUUGAGAUUCUCUAUGAAUUUGUCUAUUUUAUCUAAAUUUUCAAAAUUACUGACAUAAAAGUCACAUAGACCUCUUAGGAUUUUUUUAAAUGAGUUUUCAUUCUUGAAAUUAUUUAUUUGCACAUUCUCACUCUCUCUUCUUGAUCAAACUGGCCAGAUGUUUGUCAAUUUAAGGCUCUUAAAAAAAAAGAUACAACCUUUGGAUUUGUUAAACCUCAUUAUACAUGUAUUUGUAUUUUUUCCAUUGGUUUCUAGUUUGUUGUUUAUAAUUUACCUAAUUUACUUUUUUUGAGUUAAAAUUUGCUUUUCUUUUUCAAACUUCUUGAAAUGGAUACUUACAUGAUUCUAUUUCCCUAAUGCUUUAUUUAAGCCUAUAAAUUUCCCUUGAAUCAUAGACUCGGAUUCAGCCCACCCAUUUUGAUAUGUUACAUUUUUAAUAUAUUAAAUAUAAAAUGUCUUCUCA